GCCCGAGUGGUGGUAUUGGUAGACACGUUGGACUUAAAAUCCAAUGAGCAUUGCGCUCGUGCGGGUUCAAGUCCCGCCUCGGGUA
rnacentral:tRNA from 1 species